rnacentral:lncRNA from 1 species
AUGUUAGAAACGUGCCAGAGCACCGUUCUCUAUGUUUACAUUUGCUCAGUAGGAAAUUGCCAGGGCUCAGGGGUGCCCAGGGGUUCUGUCCCGUGCAGCGCCCUGCAGAGAGCCAGGCAGUUUGGGCGAGAACACUGUUUGCCCAUUCCAGGCCUCCGUGGCCUGUCUUCCCUAGGCGGGGUGAUACAGACCCUAAUUGAAAAUGAAAAGGAGGAGCUUAAAUGCCGCUUUCUUGACAGAACUUCCUUUCAUUUACAGAGGUCGUUUGUUCCCGUUGAACUACUCAGUACCACCCUAUCCCUAAGAGCCCAGGAGUCAAAGAACCUGGACACAAGACAAGAAUGCACCAGGAAAUGCAAGACACCAGAAAAAGAGGGCAGACAAGCAUCACAGAUAAUUCCGGUGAGUCGUAGUCUUUCUCUCUCUGUCCCCCCUGUCCGUUCCUCUGUCCUGACGUGGAGGAGGCUGCAGGGACCACAGAGUUCUCUAGUCUGAGACUCUUAGCCCCAUGUAGCCAUGAGCCGUUGGUUACCGUAAGGGCUGUGGAAAGGUGCUGGCGGCACGUCACCUACGGGGAUGAAAAGGUGAAAAUGAUCACCUCUGAGGCACCUGGUUCUCUCGACGACCCCUUUGUGCCCUUGCCCGAGGGAAAUAGACCUGGUUGUGAGCAUCCCUGGGCUCACUCUACUCUGGAACCUGUGUGUGGAGGGAGAGAGGAGAGGGAGAGAGGAGUCUCAGCUCCCGUUUGUUCACAGCAUAACCAUUCGUGCAUCCUGUGCGAACUGUCUCGCUUUCUGGUCCAUGAGCACCGACACUCCAGCCAAAACAGUUACAGCCAAUAGCUGGUGAGCACUCACGCUGCGCAGGUGCCCUUACAAGCACAUUCUCAUAACCUCCUGAUGUGGGAGACGCUAUUAUUACCCCAGUCUGACCAAGGUGAAACCAAGGCACACAGAAUUAAAAGAAGCAGAAUCAAGAUGAAACCACACCAUUCUGGCUUCAGAGCCUCCUUCUUAACCACUGGCCCCUCAGGGCCCCUGCUGUACUCAACUCCUCUUGGCCUUCCCAUCUGUGCUUAUGAGCCGUUUCAAGGCUGUGAUUUCUGUAAGGCAGGCCUUUUCCCUUGAUUCUUCACUUGGAUGCUUCCUGCUAUUCUUAAAAGUUAAUUCAGGCAAUAAAUACUUAUUACACUCUAUUGUAUUUAAUCA